AAUGCGGCCACAUAUGAACAUGGGACCAACACAGAUGCCUUCAGCUGCCAAGCGCACAUGGAACAGGUCAGCCAGUGUCAUAGGGACAGAUGCCCUUUAAGAAGCACUCUGGAGAAAAAAAUUAAUUGUUUAACUCGGUCCAUUAGUAGUGCUGUUAGCUUUCCUACCUGAUUUUAUCUGCUCCAUUCUGCCAUUAUCACGUGCCUUAGACUGCAUAAAUCCUACAGCAGCGAUUCGCAACCUUCAUCACUCCAGCUGCUGUGAAACUACAACUCCCAGCAUGCACACUUACUUUGCUGUUUUCUUAACUCCCAUAGAAGGAAAGGAUGAUUCUGGGAGUUGUAGUUUCAGAACAACUGGAAGUUGCUGACCCCUGUCCGCAGCUUACAUUUGGACUGGUAGUCAGUCUUUCUAUACGUUACUGGGAGACUCUGACUUCCGCUGCAUACAGACGCUGUAGGAUUUGUACAGCCCGAUUACAGGAAUGGCACUGACAACUCAGGAAUAAAGAAAUAGAUAAGAAAGAAAAAAACUGCGCCACUCUUGUUCAGAGGCUGUGCCUGGUAUUGCACCUGCUUAUUAGCCACCACUGAGUCGAUCUCCCCAACACACCAAAUAUGAUCUCACUGCUGUGCCUUGGUUUUUUUUUAUUUCCCAUUAGAGCUGGCGAUUCAUGUUGUAUGUAUACUGUCAUUAUUCCCACUGUGAGUACAAGCACUAGGAAUGUAAGUGUUAGACUUUCUCAUAAGGAACUUUAUUCCGGCCAGAACAUAGAUAGCAGCAGUGCCUGGUCAUAGGGGUUGUCCUAAAUAAUAAACACACCACCUCCUGUUCUGUCCACAGCUCCUAUGCUGCCCUGACUGACGCCAUGGUAACAGACUACAGAAAACCUUUGUGGAGUCUGAUUAUGCAGUCGCAAUCCAUUUAUGCCCUAGUUCUUGCCAAUAUCCCAAAUUGCAUGGAUGUAAGAGUAUAAUGACAGGAUCAACGUUCAGUUCCAUAGGAGCUGUAGACAGAACUUUACUGGAGUAAAAAAGGAGGGGGAA